AGCUUUGCGCAGUGGCAGUAUUGUAGCCAAUGAGGUUUAUCCGAGGCGUGAUUAUUGCUAAUUGAAAACUAGUUCAUCAUAU
rnacentral:snRNA from 1 species